rnacentral:rRNA from 1 species
GGCGGCGUGCCUAAUACAUGCAAGUCGAACGAGAGCGACCGGUGCUUGCACUGGUCAAUCUAGUGGCGAACGGGUGAGUAACACGUGGGUAACCUGCCCAUCAGAGGGGGAUAACAUUCGGAAACGGAUGCUAAAACCGCAUAGGUUCUACAGUCGCAUGACUGGAGAAGGAAAAGAGGCUUCGGCUUCUGCUGAUGGAUGGACCCGCGGUGCAUUAGCUAGUUGGUGAGGUAACGGCUCACCAAGGCCGUGAUGCAUAGCCGACCUGAGAGGGUGAUCGGCCACAUUGGGACUGAGACACGGCCCAAACUCCUACGGGAGGCAGCAGUAGGGAAUCUUCCGCAAUGGACGCAAGUCUGACGGAGCAACGCCGCGUGAGUGAAGAAGGAUUUCGGUUCGUAAAACUCUGUUGUUAGAGAAGAACAGCGCAUAGAGUAACUGUUAUGCGUGUGACG